AUUGAACGCUGGCGGCAGGCCUAACACAUGCAAGUCGAACGGUAACAGGAAGAAGCUUGCUUCUUUGCUGACGAGUGGCGGACGGGUGGGUAAUGUCUGGGAAACUGCCUGAUGGAGGGGGAUAACUACUGGAAACGGUAGCUAAUACCGCAUAACGUCGCAAGACCAAAGUGGGGGACCUUCUGGCCUUUUGCCAUCGGAUUUGCCCAGAUGGGAUUAGCUAGUAGGUGGGGUAACGGCUCACCUAGGCGACCAUCCCUAGCUGGUCUGAGAGGAUGACCAGCCACACUGGAACGGAGACACGGUCCAGACACCUACGGGAGGCAGCAGUGGGGAAUAUUGCAAAAUGGGCGCAAGCCUGAUGCAGCAAUGCCGCGUGUAUGAAGAAGGCCUUCGGGUUGUAAAGUACUUUCAGCGGGGAGGAAGGGAGUAAAGUUAAUACCUUUGCUCAUUGACGUUAACCGCAGAAGAAGCACCGGCUAACUCCGUG
rnacentral:rRNA from 1 species